UACAGAGGUCUCAAGCGUUGUUCGGAAUCACUGGGCGUAAAGGGUGCGUAGGCCGCACGGUAAGUCAGAGGUGAAAGCCCGGAGCUCAACUCCGGAACUGCCUUUAAAACUGCAUCGCUUGAAUCCAGGAGAGGUGAGUGGAAUUCCGAGUGUAGAGGUGAAAUUCGUAGAUAUUCGGAAGAACACCAGUGGCGAAGGCGGCUCACUGGACUGGUAUUGACGCUGAGGUGCGAAAGCGUGGGGAGCAAACAGG
rnacentral:rRNA from 1 species